rnacentral:ncRNA from 1 species
ACUUCUGACGCGCAAAUCGAUUCUGGUAAUUGAAUACGGUGGCGAGAAAUCAAUCGAAUCGUGUACUAGGGGAUUUCUUUCGAAGUUUCCUUUACGCCAGCUGGUCCAUUUAUAAGCUAUGUAAAACAAUCUUAUAUGAUAAAGCAAAUGAAUGGGAACCUUAGCGUCGAAGCGCUCUUAACCUAUUCGUAAAUUUUAAAUUAGUAGAC